rnacentral:rRNA from 1 species
GCGUAAGCAAUCUGCCCCUAAGACGAGGAUAACAGUUGGAAACGACUGCUAAGACUGGAUAGGAGAUACGAUGGCAUCUUCUUAUUUUUAAAAGACCUAGCAAUAGGUAUGCUUAGGGAAGAGCUUGCGUCACAUUAGUUAGUUGGUGGGGUAAUGGCCUACCAAGACGAUGAUGUGUAGCCGGGCUGAGAGGUCGAACGGCCACAUUGGGACUGAGACACGGCCCAAACUCCUACGGGAGGCAGCAGUAAGGAAUUUUCGGCAAUGGAGGAAACUCUGACCGAGCAAUGCCGCGUGAACGAUGAAGUAUUUCGGUACGUAAAGUUCUUUUAUUAGGGAAGAAAAGAUGGUGGAAAACCAUUAUGACGGUACCUAAUGAAUAAGCCCCGGCUAACUAUGUGCCAGCAGCCGCGGUAAUACAUAGGGGGCAAGCGUUAUCCGGAAUUAUUGGGCGUAAAGGGUGCGUAGGCGGUUAAAUAAGUUUAUGGUCUAAGUGCAACGCUCAACGUUGUGAUGCUAUAAAAACUGUUUAGCUAGAGUUGGAUAGAGGCAAGUGGAAUUCCGUGUGUAGUGGUAAAAUGCGUAAAUAUACGGAGGAACACCAGAAGCGAAGGCGGCUUGCUGGGUCUUAACUGACGCUGAGGCACGAAAGCGUGGGGAGUAAACAGGAUUAGAUACCCUGGUAGUCCACGCCCUAAACGAUGAGUACUAAACGUUGGAUAAAACCAGUGUUGAAGUUAACACAUUAAGUACUCCGCCUGAGUAGUACGUACGCAAGUAUGAAACUUAAAGGAAUUGACGGGACUCCGCACAAGCGGUGGAUCAUGUUGUUUAAUUCGAAGGUACCCGAAAAACCUCACCAGGUCUUGACAUGCUUUUGCAAAGCUGUAGAAAUACAGUGGAGGUUAUCAGAAGCACAGGUGGUGCAUGGUUGUCGUCAGCUCGUGUCGUGAGAUGUUGGGUUAAGUCCCGCAACGAGCGCAACCCUUGUUGUUAAUUGCCAUCAUUAAGUUGGGGACUUUAGCAAGACUGCCAAUGAUAAAUUGGAGGAAGGUGGGGACGACGUCAAAUCAUCAUGCCCCUUAUGACCUGGGCUACAAACGUGAUACAAUGGCUGUUACAAAGGGUAGCUAAAGCGUAAGCUUCUGGCGUAUCUCAAAAAAGCAGUCUCAGUUCGGAUUGAAGUCUGCAACUCGACUUCAUGAAGUUGGAAUCGCUAGUAAUCGCGAAUCAGCAUGU